rnacentral:rRNA from 1 species
GAUGAACGCUAGCGGCAGGCCUAAUACAUGCAAGUCGAGGGGCAGCACGGUUUUCGGACUGGUGGCGACCGGCGCACGGGUGCGUAACGCGUAUGCAACCUACCUUAUACAGGGGGAUAGCCCAGAGAAAUUUGGAUUAAUACCCCAUAGUACUACAGAUGGCAUCUGAAAAGUAGUUAAAGAUUUAUCGGUAUAAGAUGGGCAUGCGUUAGAUUAGUUAGUGGUGAGGUAACGGCUCACCAAGGCGACGAUC